rnacentral:lncRNA from 1 species
UUCAUCUUCACACCUCUCUCUCUCUCUCUUCAACUCAGAAGAACAUCGACUCUGAACAAAACAGGAGAACAUCAAAGCGAUCUCUGAUCCGGCCUGCUCAUGCUGCUCUCCAUCUCCGAUUAGGCCUCCACUCAUCUACGGUCUCAAUUUGUCCCCAUUUUCAUGUCGAUUAGGGUUUUAGCGUUUCACAAUCGCCUUCGAAUUCAACAAUCAGAUCGCAAAUCAUCAACAAGUUCUUCAAGAAAAAUAGUGCAUUGGGAGAAGAUUUGGAUUGGGAACGGAAUGUAAAGCCGCCACCUGUAAUCACGGAGGUGGUUUCUUAGUCCAUUGAAGAACUAAUCAUGAAACGUAUAUCUGAGGGGCACUUUGAUGAUGUUCAAAAAGUUAAUAAGUUGCCUUCUAAAACACCAAGGGAAAUGAAGGAAUUGCUUGAAUGUUAACUUUGCUGGAUGAAAAUUAGACUAAGAAGGGCCUUGGCGAAUUAUAUGUGGAUGAGUAUGCUCAAAAGACUGGACUGGUUUCACAAGCAUUGUCUUUCUCCGAUGAGCAAAAGAAGGAGGUGCUUCUUUAUUUCACGUUAUUUGUAGUUAUUGUUUUAAUUUUUUUGUAGUUAGGGUUUCAUAUGAUAUCUAUUAAGCAGUCUCCUUUAGUGGUUGUCCAUUAAUGUUUAGAACUAGGGGUUUUGUUUCUUGGAAACCCAAUUAAUGGAAGGAGCUUUUGUUACUCAAAUAAUAGUCGGUAGCUUCAAUUAAUCAACCAGCUUGGAAGGAGCUUUUAACCUAUGAAUCCUAUAAAAGAGAAGACAUGGUUACAAUUCAGGCUGGAGAAAAGGCUGCAAGCUGUAUUUCGGAUGUGUCUUAAAUCAAUGACUUGAGUUUUGUGAAAGAACUGAACAACAGCUCUUAUUGUUUUUUAGUAUAAACAAAUAUGAAAAGAACUGUCAUUGAUGGCUGAAUUCAGAUCUGUUUCCAAUCGACGGAGUGACGCCACGAUGACAGAAAUGGUGUUUUUCAAGAUUUUUGACCCUUACCAGCAACCGUUAUGUUGUUUAUCGUCUUCGAUAAUGGUUCAGUGUGUGUGUGUGUAUAAGUGUGUGUUGCAGAAGAUAAGGGAGUGAGUUUGAUUGGUGAUUUGAGUUUGGGUUAUUGGAGGUUUGACCACUGGAUUGAGGAAGCCUAUUCAGAAGUAGAAUCAAAGGAGAUCUAGAGGGCCAGUUUCACAUUUGAAGGGCAACAGUCUGGCUAUUCUGACUUUAAGAGGAGAUGAGAGAGACAUCUAUAACUGAUGUUCGUUUCAAAGAAAGGUCAAAUAAUCCUCGACCAUAAUUUCUAAAGGUGUUCUUUUUUUAUAUAACAUUAUUGCUUUUUUUAUCUACUCACGAACCAUGUUUAAUUAGGACAUGAACAAGAAAGUUGUGACAACUGUCAGAUUUGCAUGCAUCCGUACGUUUAAUUAAUGUUGAUUUAU